ACAUUCAAACGAGCUCCUGAUCAGGUAACAUUUCACUAAGGUAAACUGUGAUUAACACAUUGGCCAUGUUGCAAUUCGGAAUUCACAUCCGAAUGGCACAUGCUAGUGAUCUUCUUUUUAUCCCUGAUCAUCCUAGGGCUUCAAUACAGUAGUUUUUCUCAAUUCUUGAAUUGAAUGGGAACAGGGGAAGGCAUUCCUAAGCACAAUUCCUAACUUUGAUAAACUUAAGUUGUUGUAAUCAUGGUUCAUAUGCAUGGGAUCUUCAAUUCUAUAUUUUUUAAUCAUCUUUAGGAAUGGCUUUCUACUUGCUCCUGUUUGGACAUGUUCUAUGCAUUUAUAUGGCUGUAUUAUCAGUCUUUCUUUUCUUACUCCAUGAUGUGCUUGUUAAAUUGCUUACAUUUAGUUUUCAUUUGUUGUAGAGUGUGGAGCUUACAAAUGAAA
rnacentral:misc_RNA from 1 species